rnacentral:misc_RNA from 1 species
GGUGUCCGGAGAUGCCGCCGGGCUUGAAAAAUAUCGAUGUUCUAAGAGGAUACGUAUUUUAUACUGACUGCAAUAUAUUUUAUUCAUGUAUGAACAACAAACCUCGUCGUUUACAAUGCGAUGAGUAUUUCGCUUUUGACGAGGGCACUCAGUCUUGCAUUCCGGCACAUUUUGUAAUGUCUUGUACUAAAACACAAAAAUUAUAGCUUUCAGUGUUAUAAGACGAAAAGCUAACGGAGAAUACCUU